rnacentral:rRNA from 1 species
GAGACUCUGCGCGCGUGCAUAUCAAUAAGCGGAGGAAAAGAAACUAACAAGGAUUCCCUUAGUAACGGCGAGUGAAGCGGGAAGAGCUCAAAUUUGAAAUCUUCAAGGUUCUACCUUGACGAAUUGUAGUUUAAAGAAGUGUUUUCUGUUGAAGUUUCGGUAAAAGUUCUUUGGAAUAGGACAUCAUAGAGGGUGAGAAUCCCGUACUUUGACCAUUACUUUUCCAGCUGUGUGAUACACUUUCAAAGAGUCGGAUUGUUUGGGAAUGCAGUCCAAAAUGGGUGGUAAAUUUCAUCUAAAGCUAAAUAUUGGCGAGAGACCGAUAGCGAACAAGUACCGUGAGGGAAAGAUGAAAAGAACUUUGAAAAGAGAGUUAAACAGUACGUGAAAUUGUCAAAAGGGAAGCGUUUGACACCAGUGUUGUUUUUCCGAAAAUCAAUUAAAAAUUGAUUCAUGCUAGGUUGUAUUGACCUCAUCAGCUUGCAAUUUAGUUUUGGGUCUCUUUUUGAUGCACUUUUCGGUUAACAAGUCAACAGCAAUUUCCUUUGCUGUAAAAAGGUAAGAGGAAGGUGGCUUCAAUUUCGGUUGAAGUGUUUAUAGCCUUUUAUCUCUGCAGUCGGGGAGAUUGAGGUCUGCAGCGUAGAUCCUUCGGGGCUAGAUACAUUUAUGCUAAGUUAUAGCUUUUCAUAGACAACUUGUUGACUAUGUUUAGUCAUGUAGCUUACUCGUAAGUGCUAUUUUACCUACGCUUAGGAUGUUGAAGUCAUCGUAUCGCGC